GCCGCCUUAGAUCAGUGGUAGAUCGUUUGUCUUGUAUUGACAACAAAAGGUCGCUAGUUCAAACCUGGCAGGCGGCA
rfam:Botryobasidium botryosum FD-172 SS1 unplaced genomic scaffold BOTBOscaffold_29, whole genome shotgun sequence.